AUUCUCGUAGGGGCCCCUGCGGUGCCCGGGGCCUGGGGCAAAUUGCCCCACUCAUCGUCCCCCCCCCGGGCGGCCCUGGUGAAUGUGGGGUGGGCUUGCACUCCAAUCUUCCACCUGAAUUAUUGUUUUUUCUCCUACACCUCAAUGGGAAAUUUACUAAACAUUUGUGUGCCAAAAUUGUGGGCUUUAUCGUGGUUAUAACUUCAACUUGUAAAUACAACAGUUUAUUGUACAGUGAUCUCUACAGAGAUCCAAUGCAGUCACCCACAAGUUGAAUUCCUGCUGUGAAAUCUUCAGGGCAUUUAAAUGUUUGAUUGAGAAAGCGCUAAAAUAUAAAUGUAGGAGUCACUGACAUUUCCUUGGCCCGAUGUUGUUUUUAAGGCCUUUGGUAAACACUUUCUAUCUUAUAUGUUUUACAGGGCAUCUCUAUAAAUAUUUCCCUGACAUAUUCAUUCUUAGAGAAGGAAAAGCCUCAUUGUGGUUAAUUAGUUCGCAUGCUGUGAUGAAAGGUGAGUUCAUCUAACGUUGUUAUAAAAACCUCACGAAUUUGUGUAAUCAUUUCUUGAACCUGGGAAAAGCCAUCAGAAUACAAUACAGAAGAUGCCAUCCAUAGGUCUGGGCACAUCCACACUAUCACAACCAGUGUUAAAUAUAAUCACCAGUAAACUAGAAACCUUCAACAAUCUCCAAUACUGACCAAUUAGUGACUGUCUGGAUUAAGGUCAAAGCAACCUCCUAAAUACCUGAGAGAACAAACGAUCUUUUCAGCAUGCAUGGAAUGGCAACAAAUCUGGGCUCCAGACGAUCCAGGGGAAGCACAUUCCUGAGUCAAGGCCUGAUGGAGAAUACCCUGCCAGCUGCUUCCUUCCAUUCCUCACAAGGGAGCUCCGUGCUGAGUGCCCCUGUGGAUCCCAACUCUGGAUGUAUUGUACGGGGAGAAAGAUGAUCUCUUAGCACAAGACUUGAACAGAAGAGAAACGGGACGAUGAAGGAUACAGCAUCAAGAUUAUUGCUGCUAGACGGACUACAGUCACUGCAAACCAAGGCAUCAAAUUAAGGAAGAUCUAGGAAGCAUGAUGUGCUUUAUUGGCUUGGCUUUCUGUUCAGAUUUAAAUGAUAUUCUAUGACACACUAAUAGUUGGUAGAGUUAGAUGGGCAAAAGAUUUCUGUAAGGCUUCCAUGUUCUACACUUAUCUAGCUGGCAAUCUCCUUUGCUUUAGUUUCUGUAAAAAAGGGAACUAAUCAAACUGUCUUUCCAUAGUAACAUUUUGAGUUUGUCUUAGUAUUUCUCUGGAAAAAGCCCAUCUAUUACAUCAUCUGUAGACUCUUGAGUUGUGGGCCAGAUGGUCUGGUGAGUGUUAAGAGCCCCUCUACCUUCCUGCAUGUGCAGAUUCCACCUUCCUCCAUGGAAGUGUAUGGGGGGCUGACACCUUCAUGGCAUCAGUACCAAACCUCCUGAAUUUCCUCUGUGGGAUCAGAGAUCUGCAGCUUGAAAGGGGCAGAGGGAUGGGGGGAAUGGGAGGGAGAGGGUCAUGUGUGAGGGAGACAGAGAGUUAACUCAGCCUUAGUUAAUUUGUCAAUGGAUUAUAAUACCAGUGUAACCCCUUUCCAGGUGUUGUCAGCAGCAAUAAGGACCAGGUUCAAAUAUCUAGGGAUUCCUCUUAAAAUUAACAUACCAUUGGCUCAAGCCCCAACCUAGAGACCUGAGGAAACUGGGCACCUUAAUAGGCAAUACUUCCGCACUCACAGUCCCUGAGUCUGUGUGUGAAACAAGGAAAACUUUAUUAAGGGACAAGGGGACAUGGCAUUAACUUGGGAAAACAGCAACAGUAAAUCAGCAAUAUAUUUAUAUGAACCAUAAGUGAAACCCUCACACCAUUGAUAACUUUGGGAGUCAUCCUUUACCUCAAUUCCCCACUAGCUAGUGUGAACAUUUGAUAGGCCUCUUUAAUAUGUCAAAUUCCACCUUCCCCCUGAGCUACACACUACUCCAUGGUUGGUGUCAGUGGUUAGUGUAGUUCCAGAGUGCACUUGGGUGGUUCUGUCAGCAGCCACUAGGCAAAGCGAUGGCCGAUCCAGUCCUGAGGUUCCACCACCUCACCCUGCUGUUGAGAUUUCAGCUUGAUUUGAUGCUGGGUAGGGAGGGCCUCAGCAGAAUUCAUGCAGCUCUGUUGCUGCCUCCGUGACUUCAGCAAAGAGCUACCUCAGUGCUGUGUCUCACUGCAAAGCAUGAUCCUAUCACAAGGUCUUCAGUGGAGGGGGUGAAUUGCCUAUAGGACCCGUGAGCAGAGUCCCUUUCCCCUCCCUCUGUCUCUCUGUUAAAUUCCACUAUCCCACCAAUUCCCAUCACUCACUGACACCCCAUCUGACUGGCAUCACCACUUGGAUGGUUUCUGGGUAGAAAGCUUAUGUAAAUGGACUCUCUCUAGGCAUACAUUUCCCCUGGCAGUACUGAGCUCCCUUCCCUCUAGAGCAGCGGUUCUCAAACUGUGGGUCAGGACCCCAAAGUGGGUCGUGACCCCAUUUUAAUGGGGUCGCCAGGCUGGCUUAGAUUUGCUGGGGCCCAGGUCAGCACUGGGUGGCAGGACUCAGUUUACAGGCUCCCUGCCUGAGACUGAAGCCCCUGGGCUUCUGCUUUGGCUCCCCCACCCGCAGCGGUGGUGCUCAGGCAGGCUCAGGCACGUGUAGUAACGUCUCAUGCAGCGCCUCAUGGUCUCAGACGCCAUCCGAUGGUCCAGGGACAUCUACAUCGAGCACAUCACCGGCCACCGACAGUACCAGGAGGCGUGAGCCAGAGUGACAUCGUUCUCCCACUACAAGAAAGAGACCAAGUGACCUUCUCCAUUGGAUCAUAUGAACUGGAACCAUAAACUCCCUGAACAUUAAAUCUCACCAAAUGAGGAUCAAUCCAUCCUCAUCAUCAUAUCAACUCAUUAUUAUCCACACCCGAACAUAGCCACUUCAUGAACUUCAUACCCUCAUAUCUCAAUGUCUGUACUUUGACCCAUGAACCUUUUACCCCCAAUCGGGGAUAUUGCAGAUUAUGUAUUCCUCAUGCCACCUUAUCUUAAACCAAACUUUGCACCCUUGAUAAUCUGUAUGUUAUUCCCUGAUAACCAGAAACUUCUAUGCUCAAACUCUGUUCACUAUUUUUUUCUUUAACAUCAUCUUAAUAAAAUUUUUGUUGUCAGAAGGGGGUCUCAGUGCAAUGAAGUUUGAGAACCACUGCUCUAGAGUGUGGAGAGGGCUCACACAUUAUUUUAAUAUGCUAUACCAUUAACUUCUAACUGUCCAUUUCCACUUCUAGGAAGUCUGAGCAGCUUCAACUCCCAGUGACUUCAGUAGGAAUAAAGUCACUCUGCAUGAUCAGGCCCUUGAUUGUCAGGAGUCAUAAGCAAUAAGUAAGAAAACUAUACAAGAGCAUGAUAAAAAGUGAAAGACUUUCCCUAGUGAUCAGCCAUCUGCCUGCUCUGCUUCCCCAUGCCAGCUUGUUUCUGAAGCCACAGUUUUUACUUAGCUGACUCAAGGCACCAAAAGAAUUCAACAGUUCUGAAGUUACUGCCAAAGAAGAGAAUGCUGUGGGAGGCUAACUUCAGAAGUCAUCAUGACACAAGAAGUGCAAGACAUCACAAUCACUGACCUCCAGAAGACUGCGCUCUUAGGCACUGUGAGAAUUUUGAGGAAAGUGGAGAAUGAGUGCCUUUGAGCACCUAAAAUGCAGGAACUCUCUGGAGGGUUUAAUAAAACUCCUGACUACCCAAACCUACAGAGUCGGUGCAUGGUCAGAUGUAUUGGUGACUCCGGGGGAUACAUUUUAGACAGUAACUUCCCCUUUUAUAUGCUAAAAGAUCUUGUAUGUUAUGAAGGCUCUUUGUCUGAAACAAACACAUCCCAUGAUGUCGUACUGAGGGAUAAUAAUGAUAGUAAGUUAGAAAGCAGAGAAUGGGAUGAUGUCUGCAGUGUAAUUACUUUAUUCAUGCUAGCUAUAAUGGAGUGGCCUUUUGGAACUGGAAUAACUUCUCCCUUUCUUUACAUUUUACCUCAAAUCUUUUAUUACGAGUCUGUCAGGAGUGAUGAUUUGAAGUCGUUCAUUUUAACAAAGUCUGUUCAUAAUUAAGAGCUAUGUUGUGCCUAGUAUUAUUUCAUAAACAAAAAUGUAUUCAAAAAGGGUUAAGGUUAUUGUGUAUUUCAUUGGAGUCUCGCUAACACUCAAUUACAUUUUCUUUACAAAAAUUCUACAACCUCAACAUCGAUUGUUGGGAGUGAACUACAUCCACCCUGAUUGUAUUGGCCCUGUCAACACUGGUUCUCCACUUGUGAGUUAACUCCCUUCUCUUCAUGUGUCAGUAUAAACAUGCCUCAUCUGUAAUUCUCACUCCAUGCAUCUGAAGAAGUGGGUUUUUUACCCACGAAAGCUUAUG